rnacentral:rRNA from 1 species
AUACGGAGGAUCCGAGCGUUAUCCGGAUUUAUUGGGUUUAAAGGGUGCGCAGGCGGCCAUUUAAGUCAGCGGUUAAAUCGUGGGGCUCAAUCCCAUUCUGCCGUUGAUACUGGGUGGCUUGAUUGCGGUCGAGGUUGGCGGAAUUCGUUGUGUAGCGGUGAAAUGCAUAGAUAUGACGAAGAACACCGAUUGCGUAGGCAGCUGACCAGAUCGCAAAUGACGCUCAUGCACGAAAGUGCGGGGAUCGAACAGGAUUAGAUACCCUGGUAGUCCGCACAGUAAACGAUGAAUACUUGUUUUCGGCGAUAUAAUGUCGGAGGCAAAGCGAAAGCGAUAAGUAUUCCACCUGGGAGUACGCCGGCAACGGUGAAACUCAAAGGAAUUGACGGGG